AACGAACGCUGGCGGCAUGCCUAACACAUGCAAGUCGAACGAGACCUUCGGGUCUAGCGGCGCACGGGUGCGUAACGCGUGGGAACCUGCCCUUAGGUUCGGAAUAACUUCCCGAAAGGGGUGCUAAUACCGGAUAAUGUCUUCGGACCAAAGAUUUAUCGCCUUUGGAUGGGCCCGCGUUGGUUUAGCUAGUUGGUAGGGUAAAAGCCUACCAAGGCGACGAUCCAUAGCUGGUCUGAGAGGAUGAUCAGCCACACUGGGACUGAGACACGGCCCAGACUCCUACGGGAGGCAGCAGUGGGGAAUAUUGGACAAUGGGCGAAAGCCUGAUCCAGCAAUGCCGCGUGAGUGAUGAAGGCCUUAGGGUUGUAAAGCUCUUUUACCCGGGAUGAUAAUGACAGUACCGGGAGAAUAAGCUCCGGCUAACUCCGUG
rnacentral:rRNA from 1 species